UGGUGCAGUGGAAGGUGGCGGCCAGCCUGUGACCCUUGGCAGUAGUGUAGCCCGGGGGGCACAUGGCACCCUGCCCCCCGGGCCAGCCCGCCUCUGGCAGUAGCACACCUCACCCGGCUACAGCACCAGCAUGGGGCAUACCGUCAGGGCAUCACAUAUCAACCGCGAGACGCGGCCGGGCGCACAGGAAGUGCGCAGCGCCGGAGGGUGUUGUCACAUGACCCGGCGCCGACGGCGAUGGCAGGGACACACGAGGUGGGAGAGGAAUGAACGAGCUCUCGCUCCCUGGAUACGAUGAACAGGAGAAUGUCGCCAUGGCAACACAGUUGCGCAGUGUCUUCCCCUCCACCUGACUGCUUUAGUAUCCUGCUACUGCUAGAGUCCGUCAUCCAGGCUGUGCAUUACAAUCACCCUCGUGAUUACUGCCACCAAAGCACUUGGCAUGUGGCCAGCAGAUCACCGGCAUCUCCCUGUAUUUCAUAUCG